rnacentral:sRNA from 1 species
UGAGAAGUGGAGAAUCUUUGAAUCUGGC